UACGGAGGGAGCUAGCGUUGUUCGGAAUUAUUGGGCGUAAAGGGCGCGUAGGCGGCAUGGCAAGUGGAUGGUGAAAUCCCUCGGCUUAACCGAGGAACUGCCGUCCAAACUGCUUCGCUUGAGACCGGGAGAGGUGAGUGGAAUUCCCAGUGUAGCGGUGAAAUGCGUAGAUAUUGGGAGGAACACCAGUGGCGAAGGCGGCUCACUGGACCGGUACGUGACGCUGAUGCGCGAAAGCGUGGGGAGCAAACAGG
rnacentral:rRNA from 1 species